rnacentral:rRNA from 1 species
CAGUAGCCGCGGGAAUACGUAGGGUGCAAGCGUUAAUCGGAAUUACUGGGCGUAAAGCGUGCGCAGGCGGUUUUGUAAGACAGAGGUGAAAUCCCCGGGCUCAACCUGGGAACUGCCUUUGUGACUGCAAGGCUAGAGUACGGCAGAGGGGGAUGGAAUUCCGCGUGUAGCAGUGAAAUGCGUAGAUAUGCGGAGGAACACCGAUGGCGAAGGCAAUCCCCUGGGCCUGUACUGACGCUCAUGCACGAAAGCGUGGGGAGCAAACAGGAUUAGAUACCCCUGUAGUCCCUGUCUCUUAUAA